UAAAAGAAAAAAAAUAUGUGAUUUAGUUUAGUUUGAUUUAGUCGGUUGAAUUUUAAAAGUAAAAUCGAAGUAAAAUAAAAGAAACCAAUGUGAUUUGAUUUGGUUCGGUUGAUUCAGUUUUUCAAAAAAAAUUAUUGAGUCAUACAUCCACAUAUAGAUGUCAACAUAACUUUGUAUUUAAUCAUUCAUACACUAUCAAAUAACAAUAAAAUUCAUCAUAUUUGGACAACAACUUCUCAU
rnacentral:lncRNA from 1 species